rnacentral:rRNA from 1 species
UACGGGGGGGGCAAGCGUUGUUCGGAAUUACUGGGCGUAAAGGGCUCGUAGGCGGCCAACUAAGUCAGACGUGAAAUCCCUCGGCUUAACCGGGGAACUGCAUCUGAUACUGGAUGGCUUGAGUUCGGGAGAGGGAUGCGGAAUUCCAGGUGUAGCGGUGAAAUGCGUAGAUAUCUGGAGGAACACCGGUGGCGAAGGCGGCUUUCUGGACAAAUACCGACGCUGAGGUGCGAAAGCGUGGGGAGCGAACAGG